rnacentral:rRNA from 1 species
CCUACGGGAGGCAGCAGUGAGGAAUAUUGGUCAAUGGCCGGAAGGCUGAACCAGCCAUGCCGCGUGAAGGUCAGUGCCCUAUGGGCGUUAAACUUCUUUUGUGCGGGAGCAAUAAUGGUCACGUGUGGCCAGACGAGAGUACCGUACGAAUAAGCAUCGGCUAACUCCGUGCCAGCAGCCGCGGUAAUACGGGGGAUGCAAGCGUUAUCCGGAUUUAUUGGGUUUAAAGGGUGCGUAGGCUGUGAGGUAAGUCAGCGGGGAAAUGCCCCCGCUCAACGGGGUGAAGUGCCAUUGAUACUGCCUUGCUGGAGUGCGGAUGCCGUGGGAGGAAUGUGUGGGGUAGCGGUGAAAUGCAUAGAGAUCACACAGAACACCGAUUGCGAAGGCAUCUCACGAAUCCGCGAUUGACGCUGAUGCACGAAAGCGUGGGUAUCAAACAGGAUUAGAUACCCUAGUAGUC